rnacentral:lncRNA from 1 species
AAUGUUGGAAUGGAAAUUGCAGAAAAUGAUAAAAAUCAACAACAAAAUUGAAAGGGGCAGCAACAAAUAACUCUAAAAUAUGCAAACAAUAAUUUGCAUAAACACUUUAAUGUGAUGUAUUUAUGCAUUACAAGAGUGAAUUUAGUGAUGGUACAAGCUUGGAUGCCUAAACUCAAGAGUUACAAGUCCUAUUUAUAGGAAGAAAUUCGUUAGAAC